rnacentral:rRNA from 1 species
AUUGAACGCUGGCGGCAGGCCUAACACAUGCAAGUCGAACGGUAACAGGAAGAAGCUUGCUUCUUUGCUGACGAGUGGCGGACGGGUGAGUAAUGUCUGGGAAACUGCCUGAUGGAGGGGGAUAACUACUGGAAACGGUAGCUAAUACCGCAUAACGUCGCAAGACCAAAGAGGGGGACCUUCGGGCCUCUUGCCAUCGGAUGUGCCCAGAUGGGAUUAGCUAGUAGGUGGGGUAACGGCUCACCUAGGCGACGAUCCCUAGCUGGUCUGAGAGGAUGACCAGCCACACUGGAACUGAGACACGGUCCAGACUCCUACGGGAGGCAGCAGUGGGGAAUAUUGCACAAUGGGCGCAAGCCUGAUGCAGCCAUGCCGCGUGUAUGAAGAAGGCCUUCGGGUUGUAAAGUACUUUCAGCGGGGAGGAAGGGAGUAAAGUUAAUACCUUUGCUCAUUGACGUUACCGGCAGAAGAAGCACCGGCUAACUCCGUG